rnacentral:rRNA from 1 species
CCUACGGGAGGCAGCAGUGGGGAAUAUUGGACAAUGGGGGGAACCCUGAUCCAGCCAUGCCGCGUGUGUGAAGAAGGCCCUCGGGUUGUAAAGCACUUUCAGUGAGGAAGAACGCCUGGUGGUUAAUACCCAUCAGCAAAGCCAUCACCCACAGAAGAAGCACCGGCUAACUCCGUGCCAGCAGCCGCGGUAAUACGGAGGGUGCGAGCGUUAAUCGGAAUUACUGGGCGUAAAGCGCGCGUAGGUGGCUUGAUAAGCCGGUUGUGAAAGCCCCGGGCUCAACCUGGGAACGGCAUCCGGAACUGUCAAGCUAGAGCGCAGGAGAGGAAGGUAGAAUUCCCGGUGUAGCGGUGAAAUGCGUAGAGAUCGGGAGGAAUACCAGUGGCGAAGGCGGCCUUCUGGACUGACACUGACACUGAGGUGCGAAAGCGUGGGUAGCAAACAGGAUUAGAUACCCUAGUAGUC